AGGGUAUUUACCAAAUCAAGACUUCGAAACCUACUGGAGAGAAUAUGACCUAACAAAACUAAUCUCAAUACUUUGUUCUUUGUCAAGAAAAACUGAACGACAUCAGUGUUGUUGAGUUCAAACUUCACAGCUCGAAGGAAUAGCACCCCAAGAUCGUGCAUGCUACCAGGUUCGAUGAAAAAUAAUUUUGAACUUUUAGGGGUCGAACUCAAAUUUAAGAUUCGAGAAGCUUGGGGAAGAUUUGAGGGGAAACAACGAUGGAUUAGGUAUGAGGGGAGGAAGGGGGUUCUGGGGGUGUUAUUAUUUAGUGGAUUGGGGUUGUUUAUGAUUACGCUGCCGGCAGAGAUAAUGGAGAGAGUUGGAGGGCAGAGCUAGGGUUAGAGGUUAGAA
rnacentral:lncRNA from 1 species